rnacentral:misc_RNA from 1 species
UGUAUCAAAGAUGAUUCCAGCAUCGGAUAAGGGUAGAUUCUUUGCCUUUGGCCGAGUUUUCUCUGGGAAGGUCUCUACUGGUAUGAAGGUCCGCAUCAUGGGGCCAAAUUAUGUCCCUGGCCAGAAGAAGGAUCUGUAUACGAAGAGUGUGCAGAGAACUGUUAUCUGGAUGGGUAAAAGGCAAGAGUCUGUAGAGGAUGUUCCUUGUGGGAAUACAGUCGCUAUGGUUGGUCUAGAUCAGUUUAUCACGAAAAAUGCCACUCUCACAAAUGAAAAGGAGGUGGAUGCACAUCCUAUCCGAGCAAUGAAGUUCUCAGUGUCUCCAGUUGUUCGUGUUGCCGUACAGUGCAAGGUGGCGUCUGACCUUCCCAAGCUUGUUGAA